GAUGAACGCUAGCGGCAGGCUUAACACAUGCAAGUCGAGGGGCAACGAGAGUAGCAAUACUUGUCGGCGACCGGCGCAAGGGUGCGUAACACGUGAGCAACAUACCCAAAUCAGGAGGAUAACCGGAGGAAACUCUGCCUAAUACUCCAUAAUAUCAUCUUAUGGCAUCAUGAAAUGAUAAAAGAUUUAUCGGAUUCGGAUUGGCUCGCGGGACAUUAGCUAGUUGGCGAGGUAACGGCUCACCAAGGCUACGAUGUCUAGGGGUUCUGAGAGGAAGGUCCCCCACACUGGAACUGAGACACGGUCCAGACUCCUACGGGAGGCAGCAGUGAGGAAUAUUGGACAAUGGUCGGAAGACUGAUCCAGCCAUGCCGCGUGAAGGUUACUGUCCUAUGGAUAUUAAACUUCUUUUUACGGGUAGGCAAUAAGGUAGCACGCGUGCAUCGAUGAGAGUACCGUACGAAUAAGUACAUCGCGUAACUCCGUCG
rnacentral:rRNA from 1 species